rnacentral:lncRNA from 1 species
UCUUCUUAGUCACUACUUCCCACAGAGUUAACCAUUGCCAAGAUUAGCUUUAAUCUUUAAAAAUAACCUGAGAUUAGCUUUGCCUGUUCUGAAAAUUUACAUGCAUUUAAUUAGACGAUAUGCAUUAUUUGGAGUUUGGGAGUCUUCAGUUAUUGUGUAUAGCAGGGGCGGGUUUGUUCUCAUUGCUGUAUAUUUUACUGUACAACCGUGCCACUCAGUUAUUCAUUUUACUGAUGACAGAGACUUAAUUGGUUCCAGUUUGGGACUCUUAGGAAUAGUGCUGCUGUGAACAUUUGGCGAUGUGUCCCUUGAUGUACAUAUUUGUGUAUUUCUGGUGGGUAUAUACUGAGGAAUGGUAUGUGUAUGGUCAUAGGGUAUAUGUACCAUCAGCUUUAGUACCAGUAGAUACUGCCAAACGAUUGUCCAUAUUGAGCAUCUUCUUAAUGCUUUUUUUGUGGGGGUGAAGGGGGCAGAGUUUCACUCUUAUUGCACAGGCUGGAGUGCAAUGGCACGAUUUCUGCUCACUGCAACCUCCGCCUCCUGGGUUCAAGCAAUUCUCCUGCCUCAGCCUCCUGAGUAGCUGGGAUUACAGGCAUGUGCCACCACACCUGGCUAAUUUUAUAUUUUUAGUAGAGACAAGGUUUCUCCAUGUUGAUCAGGCUGGUCUUGAACUCCCGACUUCAGGUGAUCCGCCUGCCUUAGCCUCCCAAAGUGCUGGGAUUAUAGAUGUGAGCCACCAUACCUGGCCCCUAAUGCUUUUUAAGUCAUCUUACCUAUUUCACAUUUCCUUGAGAAUAGUGAGUCACUUAAUAUAUUUUUGACAGGUUGAACAAGGAAGUUUGUUCCUGGGAGAUAAAAAAGCUUGAGGUCGGCCUUGCGUGGUGGCUCACACCUAUAAUCCCACCACUUUGGGAGGUGGAGGUGGGAGGAUCAUUUGAGGACAAGAGUUCAAGACUGGCCUGGACACCAUAGUGAGAUCCUGUCUGUAUUAAAAAAAAAAAAAAGUACGGGGCCAUUUACUUUUUCUUUCUUCAAAUGAUGAGUAUCUUGGGAGACCUGUUUGCUUCUCUUGAGCCAGGUCAUCUUGGAACCAUGUCCACAGAGACAGGUGGACGUAGCAGCCUUAGCUCUUACUCUGAAAUGCCCCUUCUCAUGGGCGUCUUGCUAGUCCCUGCCACCACCUCCUUGUCAGCCCCAGGGACAGCCCUUCCAUUGCCUGCAGUGCAGCCCAGCUAAGCCAAACUGAUCACAAAAGCAAGAUUUUACUGAAGAAUCAGGAGAGCCAAAGGGCAGCCCACCCAGACAGCGCCAGUCACAGUUUACCAUGUAACAACUGGUUCAGGUCGAGUGCAGUGGCUCAUGCCUGUAAUCACAGCCCUUUGGGAGGCCAAGGCAGGAGGAUCACUUGAGGCCAGAAGUUCAAGACCAGCCUGGACAACAUACUGAGACCCCAUCUCUACAAAAAAUUUAAAAAUUAGCUGGGCUUGGUGUCAUACGCUUGUAGUCCUAGCUACUGGGAGGCUGAGGUGGAGGAUUGCUUGAGCCCAGGAGGUAAAGGCUGCUGCAAGCCAUGAUUGCGCCACUGCACUCCAGCCAGGGUGACAGAGUGAGACCAUGUCUU